GUCAAUCUUCAUCUCUUCCAAAUUACAGUAUUCAAGAUCUAACUCCUGAAGAUUCUCCAUGUAUGCUAGAUGUAAGACAUUGAACGGUGCACUUUCACAUUGGUAAACCCAUACAGAUUGCGUGAUGCUCACCAGCUUUGGAUAUUUCAAAAACUUUUGGACAGCAAGUGAACUUCGGAAGGUCCAGCUUAAAACAUUUAAACGCUUCAAACCCAGCAAUUCCUUCAUCAAAGGUUCAGCAUCAGCACAUAGAACGUUAGCUUCUUCUUCUUCUGUUACACUGCAACAACCGCACCCACGCAACCUGAGUACCUCCAAAUUUGAAAAGCCAGAUAUCAAUUGAUGUGGAAUUAUAGACAAAUUAAAUGCAUACUCCAAGUUCAAAUAUCUCAACUUCUCCAACGCCUUCAGCUCUUGCGGCAACCCAGUUAUGUCAGCCGAUGAUAGAUCAAGAUGAUGUAAUGAAACCAAACUUGAAAUCCCUGAAGGUAGUGUACUUAGGUGAAAAUUUUCACUGAGACUUAAUACUCUAAGAGACGACAUAGAUUGAAAGAAGCCGUCAGUGAUCUCCACAAUCGGAUUUUCAUCCACAAGUAAAGUUACGAGACGCGGACACGUGGGAAUUUCCGAUAGGCUUUCAAUUCCAUUUCCCAUCAGAGAUACCCGUUUGGCACCUUCCCAUUCUUCAAUCUUUGGUGCUUCGGUCAAUUUAACUCCAGCGCGAACCAGAAAGUUCUGCUCCUCCUUGUCUACCGUGCACGCUAUCCAUAAUGACAUCUCACGAAUCAUAUCGUGCAUCUUUACAUGAUCAUCGCCUUCUUCCUCCAAUAAGCAUGCUUGAAGAAGGUCAUCAAUAAAAUCGCAUCCAUCAUCAAAAUCAUAUACAAAUCCUUCACUAAUCCAGUAAUCAAUCAAUUCCCUUCUAGGAAUUUCGUAGUCUUCAGGAUAUAAACAACAAUACAGGAGACAGGAACGAAGUUCGUCCGUAGACAAACUAUCAUAGCUGAACUUUAAACGCGAAAACACCUCUUCUUUCAUACCUGAGAAUUUAGAAGCUGAUGUUGUCAUUUUGUGAAUUGCACGUUUCCAAUCUCCAACUUUCCUUUGGCUUUUCAUGGCUCGACCCACUGUUUUAAGCGCUAGCGGCAACCCACCACACUCUCUUGCCAGGGUUUCGGCUAGCUCUGGAAUACUGGUAUGACUGUCAAGAGUGGAUCUGUCGACCAUCUCCUGAAAUAAUUCCCAGGCUUUAUCAUGCGCCAAACUAUACACUUCCAACUUUUUAGCGUCCAUUUGAUCGCAAACACCAGCUGAACGAGUUGUCAAGACUAUUUUGGACCCAUCAUUUAGAUUUUGAAGAGGGACACCCAAUUGUGUUAAAUCAAUGCGCUCCCAUAUAUCAUCCAAUAACAACACAAACUUCUUUCCGCUUAAAAUUCUAGCGAUGUCCGCAGCCUUGUCUCGAAGACUUUUUUUCUCCCAGCUUGGGUCUUCUGAAAAGCCAAUCCUUUUUCCAAUGUCAUCUUGAAGUGUUGACGCAGCCGCCCAGAUAACAACAUCAAAAUUAUGCUGUUGAUGGCAGAAGUUGUUGUUGACUUGUUUUAAAAGGGUAGUUUUGCCGACUCCCCCUAUACCAUACAAGCCGAUAAUUCCCCUGUUAUUUUCCUCAUCAGUGAUACAUCGCCAAACUCGAUCCACUAGUAAUUCUUGACCAACAAUUGUUUGCGCAAGAGGUAAUUCAAUUGCUGCACCAUCUGGCGCCUUCUCAACAACGACUUCAAUUUUUUCUCCGUCCUUCCUUAAAUUGAUCACUCGAUCCGUCAACAUGACCACUUUUCUGCCGAAAUCGUAGCUUGAAGCCAAGUUUUUGGAACAGAGGCCUCCAAGGCACAAUCUAUCCAUUUCUUGAGCUUUAACUUGUUGCAGCUUCGUAAAUUCAUUUUCCAGUUUUUGCACAUCUUCAAGCCACCCUGCGACCUGGUUCGUUCGUCUGGUUCGAGGUCGUUGUUCUUCGACCUCAACCCUGGUCUUCAGAUCGUCCCUUGUUCGAGUCAAUUUGUGCAAUUCAGUCUCCAAGCCCUCAAGAUUUUUUUCGAGACCCCAUAUAUAUUUUGCUUGUUGACCAACGCAGUUUAAAGUUCGAUUAAAAAAGUCUGGUUGUAAGAAAGUUGAGAUUAAGUUACCCAUUGUCGUUCACGAAAAGAGGAAGAGAAGCGAUGGGUACAAUGAAAAGAAUUAUGCUGCUUUGGAGAGGGUUAUAUUUAGAGAAGCACAAUACCGAAAUAAAAAUAUGAUACAUUUGUUGCUUUAUAAUUCAUAUGUCAAAUAUCAAGAAUAUAAUGAUACGCUUACACGUCAUAUAAAAUUUGCAAUUCAACCCAGUAAUCACAUAGUUAAUAUUAAAUCUUAUCAUUUGUUAUCUAAGUGAUAAAUUUAUAUUGAUAAUAUAUUUUUUAGAAUAAAAAUUUUCUACCUUAACUUGGAUGAAGAUUCAAAAUAUUAAGUCAAUGAUAGAUAGAUAAAAAAUAAAAUAAAAUAAAUUUUAACAUUAAUUCCUGGAAUCUGUCACCAUUUUUUUCCCUUAGUAACAACCAUGUUCGCUUGAGAGACCACCACAACAUGAAUAAUUUCUUCUUGGUCGACCAAAUUGGCCUUAAGAGGCUUGUGAUCUCCCUUUCUAUACUUGCAUUUGAUAGCAAAAUGUCCACAAACAUAACAAUUGCCUUUUUAAGGAAUCAAACAAGACUUAAUUAGGCGAUAAACCAGUCUAUUGGCUAGAGCCACUCAAAGUUUGAAUGAAGGUAAUUUUUCUAUCAAGAGAAGAAUUGUAAUCCUUAGAAUAUUUGAGAUGAUUUUGAGUGGUGCCAUAUCAAAAUUGAUAUAUACUAAUUUUGAUAUAUAAUUAUAUGAUUAUAAAUAUAAUGAAUAAUAAUCUAAAAAAAAAUAGGCGAUAAAGUUUAUUACAUCCACGAACAUAAAGGUCACGUUCAAGUAAAUGUGACCGUUGGACGUUGACAGCCCCUAAAAAAGAACCAAAAAAAAUCUAAUUUGAUAAAACGACGUCAGGAUUCGAAAUGGUCACGGGUUAAAAAAUUUAUUGGAAGCAUAAUAUUAACGUGCGCUUGCUUCUUCCAAAACAGCAAGAGACUGAAUGCUGAGCCUCUCUGAAAAAGAAGCUGCGUUCUGUAAGACUGAAACGUUUAGCUGAGACCUUGUGUUAAUUUUUUACAACCCUAAACCCUAAACCCUAAACCACUUGCUCUUAAUUGUCACCCGCAUUACCGUAGGAAUAGGAUUUCUCUCUAUCUCAGUUUUACUAAAUUUUUAAAAAUUUAUUUUUAUGUGUCUUUUAAUUAUAGUAUAUAAAUAAAAUUUUAUUUUUUAAUUUUUUUAAUUUAUUAACUAUCAAUCAUUUUAAAUUAUUUAAUAUGAUCAGAUCAAAAGAAAAUUUUUAUCUUUUAAUUUAACUAUGUCAAUUAAUAUUACAUAUCCUAAUUUUCUUAAAUGAUGCGGCAUUUAUUAAUUAGACACUAAGAUAGCACUAUUAAUUUAUUUAUAUAUUUUAUAAAAAACUAUCAAUCACUUACAUUACAUACUAUAUUCUGAAAAAAAAAUUUGAGUUAUCUAUUAUUAUUUAAAAAGGAGGAGUAAUUUUGGUAUGCUAAGGUUAUUUCACAAACGUAAUAAAGAAAUUUGUGAUGAUGAACACAGUGAUAGGGCAAUUAUUGAAGCAGCAAUGACUUCGUCUGUUGCGCGUGGGAAAUCUAUUAGUAAUAUAAAGGAAAAUAAAAAGUACCCUAUGUCUUUUCAACUAUUAUUAUUUUUCCAAGGCGAACUAGCCAAAUAUGUAUGAUAAAUGUCCCUAAUAUUUUUUCUGUAAAUACAAAGACAAAUUAAAUUCAACUAGAACAAAAGUCUUUCACUGGAACCCAAUAGAUAAAAGACCAAAAUGAUAUCUAGACAUACCUCAUUGUAUAGCAAUGGAAGCUUACAAGUUAAAAUAGUAUUUAUAAUCUUUUGUAACUUUCAAAUUCUGCAUUGGAUUCUGCAACUCAUCAAGAUUAGCUUUUUAGAUCUCAUAUAUAUUUUAGCAUCUCCACGAAGGAAAAAUAAAAUAAAACUGCAAGAAUUGAGUCUGGUGAUAAGAAGCACGCAUGAGAAUGAUGUUACCCAUUUUUGUUAACAAAAAUUUCAAGGAAGAAAAUAAAGUGAGAAAGAAAGAAUUAUGUUUGUGAAAAUGGAAGAGAAGGUAGGAAUUGUAUUAUAAGACUGCAAUGUUAAGUGGCUUGGUUGUGUAGGUGAGACAUUUCAUCGAACUUCUUUACAUUUCCAUCAAACACCUUGUUCUUUAACCGUCUGUGACGUCCUUUAUACCCGUCCAUAGACAUUAAAUUGGCUGAUGUCAAGUGAAUUUGAGACUACAAAUGUGCAGCUCUUGCCUUAAUCUCCUUAGAAUCCUGAAGGGUGAAAACUUAUACCUUAUAGACUUAAGGUACGUUUAGGAUUGAAGUGUUAUAACUUUUAAGCUACAGUUGCUGUAAAAAAAAAAAAUUUAAAUAAUAAUUUUGAUGAAAUUAUUAAUAAUAAUAUAAUAAAUUCUCCAUUAUACAAGUGAAAAAUUAUAUCAACAUAUCUUUCAAGACACAACAAUUAGUAUUUACUAAACACUUUACUACUGUACCUUUUAAGGUACAGGUAUCCAACUUCAAUUCUAAAUGCACUCUCAUAUGUAUACCCUUUAUAUAAGGCUGAUAGAGUAAUGUAAACUAUAUUGUCCUUUUUUUCUUGUGUUAAUUGAAAUAAUUAAAACUCAAAAUUUGUAAGUGAGGCCACUUGAUUGCAGCAAAGGAGAGCAGUGAAGGGAAGAUAAAAUUUUACCGACAUUGAACUUGUUAUUUCUCUCUCUACUAUAUUGUAGUGUUUACUUUUUAGAGUGGGAGUUUGGAGUGUGGAGUGUGGAGUGUGGAUUCCUCCCACUCUCCCACUCUAGUGUUUACUUAUCUUAAAAAAGGGGGAAGUGGGAGUGGGAAUCCGUGGGUCCCACCCAAUUUUGGAGUGGGAAGUGGGAUUCCCACUCCCAUGGGGGGAGGUGGGAGUGGGAAUCCACUCCCCCCUCUUCCCAUUUUAUCCCUAUAAUUAAAUUAAUAAAUAAUAUUUAAUAAAAUAAAUAAUAUCAUAUUUAUUAAAAAUAAUAAUGAUAUCAUAUUUAUUUUAUUAAAUUUAAUAAAAUAAAAAUAAAUAAAUAUUAUAUUUAAAUUAAUAAUAUUAAACAUUAUUAAUUUUAAUAAAUAUUAAUUAAUUAUUUAAUUAAUAAUAAUAAAUAUUUUAUUCUAAAAAAAUAUUAAUUUUGUACUAUAUUAUCAAUAAUAAUAUUUCAUUUGUGUUGUUAUUAUUAAUAAUUUUUAUUCACAUAAUUUAAAUUAAAAUUAAUAAAAAAUUAUGAUUUACAUAAUUAAGAAUAUUAGUAAUUAUUAUUAAUUUAGAAAUAUAAUAAAAUAUUUAUUUUAUUUUCCAAAUAUUUUUUAUUAAUUUUUUAAUUAUAAAUUAUAAUUCUGUACAUAAGGAUAAAAUUGUAAUUUAAAACAAUUUACUCCCAAUCCAAGACAAAGUAAACAAAUAAUUAGGAUUCUGAUUGACAAUCUAUACUUUCACACCCUACUCUACACUCCUAAUCCAAGGAUUCCCACUCCUCAGGAUUCCCACUCCAAUCCAAAAAGUAAACGCAGCAUAUAUAUAUUAGCUUGUUGUUAAUUAUAAUCUUUGCAACCAAAUAAUGUAGAAUAUGUAUACGGGUGCGAAAUUUUCCAUAGGGAAUUCAGUGUUCGAUUUAAACUGCACUUUUAUAGUUUGUUCUCCAUUUACUCCUUACUUUCAGAUCUUUGUGACAAUCACAAUUUUGUCAACCAAAAUAAAGGUCGCAUUCAAGCAAAUUAAAUGUGACCUUUGGACAUUAGCAUCAACCUCUAAAGUGAUAGCAGUAACAAACAGCUCAGCACAAAUAAUUGAGGCCCUGCACUUUCAUUAGAGGAUGGGAGAAGAGAACACUUGAUUUGAUAGCAAGACGCCAAGACCAGGACAGAGACCAAGACGAAGACCGAUGAAAAGCCCUAAACAAACCAAAAAAUAAAAAUAAAAAUGCAGUUAUGAUUAUCGUCGAAUACUUCAAACAUACGACAAGUCCAAGUUUAGCUAAGGCCUAGUGUAUAAAUUUUCUACAAGCUGUUGAAUGAGAAAAUUUGUCUAAUUCUUAAGUCUUACCUGCCAAUCACAUCAUUUUAAAUUUAGUCUGUUGAGUAGAAUUUUACUUUUAUAAUUUUUAUCUCAAAAAUCUAUUUUAAAUUAUAUAAUAUUUAUUAAUUAAAUAAUAAAAUAGCAUAAUUAAUUUAUUUAAAUCCUAUAUUAAAUUAUCAAUCACUAAAUAAAUGACACAUUACAUACUAUAUUAUUUAAAAUAAAAAUUUAAAAUAUUUACCGUUACUUAAAAAAAUUAAUUUCCUUUUCCUAAAGUUAUUUCACAGACGCAAGUACAAAAUUCUGUGAUCAUGCACAAAGUGAUAGGGCAAUUAUUGAAUAAAUAUCUCACCAAAUAUAAUUAUAGCAAAUUAAAUAAAUAUUUACUAUGACUUCAGCAUCUGAGUUCCCACUCUAUAAAUAUGCCAGCAUUUUAAAACAAACAAGACUUAAGCGACAAAUACAAUUUUGUCGACGAGUAAAAAGGUCGCAUUCAAGCCAAAGGAGAAAUUCUUUCCAGUGGGAGGAUUCUAAAACCAAGAAUCCACUGCUGAAAUUUUAUUAACUGAAAAUAGAUAACGAUUGACACACCAGACAACAACAACAAGAUGCAAUUAAAUCUAAUGAAAAUUAAAAAAAGAAAAAAGAAAUACAUAUUCAAACAUAUUAAUGAAAAUCAUCCCCAAGUACGACACCGGAAGAGAAAGCAUUUUGGGUGGCUUGGUCCUCCCAUUGUAGCUCUUCCCACCAUUUUUUCGACCCCUCGAUGACAACUCGACGUUCCUUCGCGCUGCUGGAAUUGAGUGGGAGCUUCUUCAGCUGUCGGCAUUCACGUACUUCAAUUUUCUUCAGCUUUGGAAAGGGCAGGGGAUUCGGGUAAACGCUCUUUAAAUUUCUUCCCCACUUUAUGGUUAGAGAUUCGAGUUGUGCAAAAAAGUUAUGCUCUGACCCGAUUAUCUUCGAAAUAUCUCUCAAUUUAUCAACACUAAUUAUUUCUUCCGUUUCUGUACAAAAGACUAUACGCAGCUGCUUGAGAAUUUGAACAAAAACUAGCCACGUUAAGUCUUUCAUUUUUUUGCAACUCCAUAUGACAACUCUGUCGAGACUGCGGAAACCACUUUGAAAAAGUUUCUUUACCUCUUCUGUGCUGUCAGUCUUCAUCUCUUCCAAAUUACUGUCUGAAAUGCGUAACUCCUGAAGAUUCUCCAUGUAUGCUAGAUGUAAGACAUUGAACGGUGGACUUUCACAUUGGCAAACCAUUACAGAUUGAGUGAUGCUCACCAGCUUUGGAUAUUUCAAAAACUUUUGGACAGCAAGUGAACUUCGGAAGGUCCAGCUUAAAACAUUUAAAUGCUUCAAACCCAGCAAUUCCUUCAUCAAAGGUUCAGCAUCAUCACAUAGAACGUUACCUUCUAUUACGCUCCAGCGACCGCGUGAAAGCAACCUGAGUACCUCCAACUUUGAAAAGCCAGAUAUCAAUUGAUGUGGAAUUAUAGACAAAAACCGUGUAUAGUCCAAGUUCAAAUAUCUCAACUUCUCCAACGCCUUCAGCUCUUGCGGCAACCCAGUUAUGUUAGUCGAUGAUAGAUCAAGAUGAUGUAAUGAAACCAAACCUGAAAUCCCUGAAGGUAGUGUUCUUAGGGGAAAAUUUCCUCUUAGACUUAAUACUCUAAGAGAAGACAUCGAUUGAAAGAAGCCAUCAGUAAUCUCCUCAAUCCGAUUUCCACCCAGAAGUAAAGUUACGAGGCGCGGACACGUGGGAAUUUCCAAUAAGCUCCUAAUUCCAUUUCCCAUCAGAGAUACCCGUUUGGCACCUUCCCAUUCUUCAAACUUUGGUGCUUCGGUCAAUUCAACUCCAGCGCGAACCAGAAAGUUCUGCUCCUCCUUGUCUACCGUGCACGCUAUCCAUAAUGACAUCUCACGAAUCAUAUCGUGCAUCUUUACAUGAUCAUCGCCUUCUUCCUCCAAUAAGCAUGCAUGAAGAAGGUCAUCAAUAAAAUCGCAUCCACCAUCAAAAUCAUAUACAAAUCCUUCACUAAUCCAAUAAUCAAUCAAAUCCCUUUUAGGAAUUUCGUAGUCUUCAGGAUAUAAACAACAAUACAGGAGACAGGAACGAAGUUCGUCCGUAGACAAACUAUCAUAGCUGAACUUUAAACGCGAAAACACCUCUUCUUUCAUACCUGAGAAUUUAGAAGCUGAUGUUCUCAUUUUGUGAAUUGCACGUUUCCAAUCUCCAACUUUCCUUUGGCUUUUCAUGGCUCGACCCACUGUUUUAAGCGCUAGCGGCAACCCACCACACUCUCUUGCCAAGGUUUCGGCUAGCUCUGGAAUACCGGUAUGACUGUCCAGAGUGGAUCUGUCGACCAUCUCCUGAAAUAAUUCCCAGGCUUUAUCAUGCGCCAAACUAUACACUUCCACCUUUUCAGCGUCCAUUUGAUCGCAAACACCAGCUGAACGAGUUGUCAAGACUACUUUGGACCCAUCAUUUAGUUUUUGAAGAGGGACACCCAAUUCUGUUAAAUGAAUGGGUUUCCAUAUAUCAUCCAAUAACAACACAAACUUCCUUCUGCUUAAAAUGCUAGCGAUGUCCACAGCCUUGUCUUGAGGACUUUUUUUCGCCCAGCUUUGGUCUUCUGAAAAGCCAAUCCUUUUUCCAAUGUCAUCUUGAAGUGUUGACGCAGCCGCCCAGAUAACAACAUCAAAAUUAUGCUGUUGAUGGCAGAAGUUGUUGUUGACUUGUUUUAAAAGGGUAGUUUUGCCGACUCCCCCUAUACCAUACAAGCCGAUAAUUCCCCUGUUAUUUUCCUCAUCAGUGAUACAUCUCCAAACUCGAUCAAGUAAUAAUUCUUGACCAACAACUGUGUGCUCAACAGGUAAUUCAAUUGCUGCACCAUCCGGCGCCUUCUCAACAACCACUUCAAUUUUUUCUCCGUCUUUCUUUAAAUUGAUCACUCGAUCCGUCAACUCGACCACCUGAGUCCCGUAAUUGUAGCUUGAAACGAAGUUUUUGGAACAGAGGCCUCCAAGGCACAAUCUAUCGAUUUCAUGAGCUCUAACUCGUUCCAGCUCGGUAAAUUCAGUUUCCAGUUUUUGCACAUCUUCAAGCCACCCUGCGACCUGGUUCGUUCGUCUGGUUCGAGGUCGUUGUUCUUCGACCUCAACCUUGGUCUUCAGAUCGUCCCUUGCUCGAGUCAAUUUGUGCAAUUCAGUCUCCAAGACCCGAAGGUUUUUUUCGAGACCCCAUACAUAAUUUGCUUGUUCACCAACGCAGUUUGAAGUUCGAUCAAAUAAGUCUGCUGGUAAGAAGGUUGAGAUUAGGUUACCCAUUGUCGUUGACGAAAAGAGGAAGAGAAGCAACGAGUACAAUGAAAAGAAUUAAGCUAAUUUUUACUUAAAUUCUUAAGAAUUGCUGUCAAAUGCAAACAGAGUAUGAGAAUCAGGUCUUUAUUGAUUAUGAUGACUUGAAUGAAAAUGAAAUACAGAGCUUUGCUAGUUUACAUACAGAGACAAAAAAUAAUGACAGCUAGCCUAAGGGGUAUUACACGGAAGUAAUCAAAAUUGAUCCGUGAAUAUAGCAAUUGUGAACCAAUCACAUUAAGCUUCUAGAAGAUGCAACUAUUCAAUGCACAUGCGCUGCUAUUCUUCAACAUAACAGUUUUGCCAGCUCAACAAAUCCAACUCACAGAAUCAAGGUCAACCGUUGACUCUUCACAGCUGCUGCUUUCAACAAUUUUUAGAGAACCACAACACCAAAAUAAAAAUAUGAUACAUUUGUUGCUUUAUUCAUUAUGUCAAAUAUCAAGAAUAUAAUGAUACGUUUGCACGUCAUAUAAAAUUUGUAUUUCAACCAAGUAAUCACAUAGUUAAUAUUAAAUCUUAUCAUUUGUUAUCUAAGUGAUAAAUUUAUAUUGACAAUAUAUUAUUUAGAAUAAAAAUUUUCUACCUUAGGUUUGGAUGAAGAUCCAAAAUAUUAAGUCAAUGAUAGAUAGAUAAAAAAUAAAAUAAAAUAAAUUUUAACAUUAAUUUUUUAUUUAAUAAAAAGUAAAUUCAAUACAGAAUUCUAAUCCCUUAAUCUCUCUCCAUCCACGGCAAAAGAAAGCAGCAACUCAACUCUCUUUAAAGGCUAUGGAGGUUCUCUUGCGACCUCUCUUCAGCAUACCCUCCAGAACAUUAACCCCACCACCGCCAUCACCACCCUGUUAAACACGUUUUCAAAACGUGUAUAAUGUGGCCAUCUAAUUUAUUUUUAAUUAUUAGUUUUCUAAUUUAAAUUGAUAUUUAUCUUUAUUUAGUUUACUUUUAAAACGUUGGGUUUGGUUUAAAAUUUGAAUAAAGAUAAAACAUCUCUUCCUAAUAUCUCUCAUACACGUUACGGGUGGUUUACUAAAAUCAAGGGGAUAACGGCUCAUAACUUCCUCUUUUAUUUAAACUUGUCAUCUUGAUGGGAGAUGUUUUACGGUCACGUUUUUUCAAGAAAAAUAUUGAGGGUCCCUGGUCUAACAACAGAGCCUGUGUAUACCAUCUACUCUCAGGAAUUAAGUGUUGGAUAGACUAGAAAAUUCUGAGUACAAAGCAUGGCUUGUUUUCGUUGGUUUUGUUUGCAUUCCAGUAGAAAGGUUGUGUACAAUUGAAUUUGAUAACUAUGGCAGGAGGUAAGUUUUCUAACUUGUGCAUGAUGAAUAUAGUCUUUUACACCCCACCAAUCAUCUCACUCUCAAAACUCUCCAUUUUUGCCUCCAUUAAUUCCCACUCUCUCCAAAACCCUGAUUUCUUCCUCUUCUCGUUUCCUCUCGCCCGCCCCUGGUACGCCAAUUUCCAUUCUCUCGCUCUUUUUUUUGGCAAUUUUGGCUUGAGUUUUUUGGGUUUUUGGUAAUUUAUCUUUAAUUUUUGUGGGUAUCCUUCGUUUUUUUAGUUAUCAUACAUGAGUUGAGUAGUCGUAGACGAUUUUUUAUUGUUUUAAACUGAACGGAUUCUUUGUAUUUCGAAAAUGAAAUUCAUUGUUUGUGAAGUAACUUUUAAAGCUGUUGAGUUGAGUUUGAAAACUUAAUGUGCUUAAAUUUAUCUAUGUGGAUUUGAAUCAGUUAGACAAGCAGCACAGGAGAGCCAAUCGAGCGCGGAGGUGAAUGCCGAUAGAAGAGAAUGGUUUAUGCAAGGUACAUUAAUAGUAAUUUGAUCUGAUGCCAAUUUUAUUUCUAUAUUAAUUUAUUAGAUUAUGUAAUGUUAUAAAUUCUUUGUUCAAAAUGUAGAGCUUGGAAAUUUAGUCGGUACAUUAUGGUAAUGAAUGUAGCUUGUGUAUCUGUUCAAAUUUAUGUCUAGCUUUGCUGUUUUGGUAAUGGUUUGUUUAGUAUAAAUUUUGUGUUGGUUAUGAUGUUGUUUAGUGGUUUGGAUCACUCGUGCUCUUUUGGCCCCCACUAAAAUUAAUUUUUCAUCAAAGGAUAUGAAUAGUUGUUCGAUGGAAACUUAAUGGAAGAUGUGGGAGCAUCUUUAUGAGUUAAGAUUCCCUGUAGCGAGUAUAUCCUUUGGUGCAUGAGAGUUUAAGUGAUUAUCGUCAUUGUUGAGUUAAACAAUGGGAUUAAUUUUCAUGUUCAUGUAAGGUGAUCAUCGCUAAAGUUAGAGCCAUUAGGUGAUAAAUUGAUACUUCAUUGUGUUGUUAUGUUUGUUAUACUGGAUAAAAAUCCCAGUGAUAGAAUUCAUGUUAGGCGGUUUUGGGUCCUAUUCAAUCCCAAAAGAUGAAUAAGGGGUGAGGCUUUCCCUCACAAUUGUAAAAUCACCACCAUCCUAGUUCACAACCGAUAUAAGACAACCCAACAAUCUCUCCCGCACAUAUUGGGCCUUGGUUCAAAAGCAUGGACACUCGUUUUCACUAGUAGGCUGUUGGACUGAGAUGUUGGUGAAUCUUUUAGUUGAUUUUUUUUUUUUUAUAAAAAGGAAAAGAUUAUGAAGAGAUAAAUACAAUAAAGAAAAAAAGAGAUCAAUAUUGCAAUAAAACAUUUAUGUAGUGAUAUUUUAUAUAAGAAUAAUUUCAUAUAGCUAUAAAAGUAAUGGUCCUAAUUUAUAUUAGGCCAAUUAUAAAUAAGAAUAAAUUUCAUGCUGUAAUAAUUUAUAAUUUUGCUAAAUCUCACCUUAAGGAGCUCACCUCCACGUAGUGUAAAUAUAUAUAUAGAAAAAAAAAAUAUGUUAUAUUACAUUAAGUGAACUUGGGGGUUGUUUGGUACCCCUCUUUACCUGGGAUUGCAUUGUGUUAGCAAUGCAACCCCAUGUUUGGGGUACCAAAUGGCUAUAUUAGCUAAACUCGACAUAUAGUCGGGUUUAGCUAAUGCGUCCAGUUACCGCAUUAGCUUUAGCUUCCUCUUUUUUUUUUUUUUUAUACUUUGUAAUAAUGAUAAAUGAAUAUAAUUUUUAAUUUAAUAUUAUAUAAUAUUAUUUUUACUUUAUAAUUUUAAUAUAAAUUAAUAAAUUUAUUGUUUAAUAAUAUUAUAUUAUAUUUUAAUUUUUAUCAUAGUAAAUGUACAACUAAAAAAUGUAUUAUUUAAUUAUAUUACAUUAAUUAAUAUGUAAAAUUAUAUUAAUUAAUAUAUAUAAUUGAUUAAUUUUUAAUAAGUUAAUAUAACUAAUAAUAAAUACUUAAAUAAUAUAAUAUAAUAUAAUAUUAUUUAAUUUAUUAAAAUAAUUAAACUAGUUAUUUUUAAAUAAUUUAAUAUAACUAAUAAUAAAUAUUUAAAUAUGAAUAAAUUUGAAUAAUAUUAAUUAAAAAUUAAUAAAAUAUAUAAUUAUUAGAUUGUUUAGCACAAUUCAUUUUUUAGCACAAUUCAUUAGUAUUUUCUAAAUAUAUAAUUUAAAUUAGUCACAAAAAAUUAAUACAAUAUAGUGCAAUAUCAAAUAUAAUAUAAUUAAAAAUUAAAUAUAAUACAGUAUAGUACCAAACAUUAUACAACAUUAUUAUAAUACAUUACUAAUACAACACAACAUAAUGCAAUACACCUGCAUUAAAAUAAUGCAAUACAAUAUAAUAUAAUACAGCGUGCCAAACGCACUCUUGUAUCCAUAUAGUACAAAAACAACAUAAGAGAAAAAUGUUAAAGAGAACACAAAAGUUCAGAGACUUUUAAGAUAAUGUUUUAUAUUUGUAACAAGCAUGUGCUAACUUUUUUGAAACCAUGUAUAUUUAUUUUUUCCCUAAGUUACAUGCAUGUAACUUAGCAUUAGCCUCAUUUUAUUAUUAUCUAUACAUUGGAUUUGACAUGUUUCAUUAAUAAUUUAUUACUACAUCUCUAUUAAAAUAAUUGAGGUCCUGCACUUUCAUUGGAAGAUAGGAGAAAAAAAUAAUUGAUAAGAGAAGAAAACAAUUUAAAAUAAAAUUUUAAAAUAUUUAUCAUUACUUAAAAAAAUUAAUUUUCUUUUCCUAAAGUUAUUCCACAGACGGUAGUACAAAAUUAUGUGAUCACGCACGCACACAGUGAUAGGGUAAUUAUUGAAACAAAAAUGAAAUUUGUCUGUUUUCCAUUUGAAAUCUAUUACUAAUAUAAAGGAAAAGAAAAAUCUUUAAUUACUUUUUUUUUUUUUCAUGUAGGGCAAGGCAAACAUCACUAUCUUGUUAAAUUAAUAUUUAAAAUUAUCCCACCAAAUGUAAUUAUAACAAAUUAAAUAAAUAUUUACUAUGAGUUCAGCAUCUGGGUUCCCACUCCAUAAAUAUGCCAGCAUUUUAAAACAAACAAGACUUAGAGUGUGUUUGGGAUUGAGGUGCUGUAGCUUUUAAGCUACAGCUGCUGUGAAAAAAAAACUGUAAUUAUGAAACAAAAUUUAAUAAUAUAUAGUAAAUAUAAAUUUUAAAUAAUAAUUUUGAUAAAAAUAUUAAAGAUAUAAUAAAUUUUAUAUUAUACAAGUGAAAAAUCAUAUUAACAUAGCUUAAAAGCUACAGCAGCUAGUGUUUACCAAACACUACAGCUGCCCAACCUCAAUCCCAAACGCACUCUUAAGCGACAAAUACAAUUUUGUCAAUGAGUAUAAAGGUCGCAUUAUAAGCCAAAGGAGAGCAGUUAAGGGAAGAUAAAAUAUUAUUGUAUUGAACUGGUUAUUUCUCUCUAGGGGUGGCAAAAAAGUCUGGGCUGGUCUAGGCCCGCGGGCCUAAAGCCCGGCCCGUAAGGGUGGGCCCAGAUAUUGGCCUAAAAAUUACAAAGCCCACAUAUGUGGGAUCUGGACAAGGGCUUAGCAAAAAAGCCCGGACUUGGCCCAGGCUUUUUAAAUUUAUGAAUAAAAAAUAAAUUUAAUUUAAAUAAAAAAAGAAAAAACUCAAAAUAUUAAAUUAGUUUAAUUUUUUAUAUUAGUAUUUGUUAUUUUAUUAGGUUGUAUUAUUAAUAUUUUAUGUAUUGGACUAUUAUUCUAUUUUAUAUAUUAGAUGAUUAUCUUUAAUUUAAAUUUUUUCUUAAUUUAAAAAAUAUUUUAUAAUUAAUUUAAAAAGCCCAAGCCCGGCCCAGGCCCGGCCCGAGUUCGGUCCGUCCAAAUUUAAACGGGUUUUUGAAGGGCCUGGACUUCGUUUGAAUGAUGUGGGCUUGGGCCUGGGCUUUGAAAAGCCCGGCCCAAACCCGCAAAUUGCCAUCCCUAUUUCUCUCUCUUCUAUUAUUAAUUUGUUGUUAAUUAUAACCUUUGCGGGAUUUAAAAAAAAGAAAAAGGCCCUUGCGUUUUCAUCAACAUUACACUGCCAAAUGUGAAAUGGAUUGAGAACCACAUGUCCUUAUUAUGCUGCCACUCCACAAAUGUUUAUUUUCCCCUCAUUCUCCUUAGAAGCCAGAGGCAGAGUCAGUCCUGCACCCCUUUACGUAUGCCUUCUCCAUAAAUUAACAUAAACGAUUAGUAUUAGAGCUGGCAAAAUGGGUCAUCGGGUCGUGUUUGUAUUGUGUCAGCUUCGUGUCGUGUCAAAUUUAGGUCGACCCAUACUCGACCCAUUUAAUAAUCGUGUCAAAAUAUUGAGACACAAACCCGACACGGAAAAAUAAUCAGGUUAUCCAAUAACCCGCUAUCUAUAUAUUAAACAAAAGUUACAUCAAAUAUUUACACAUUUUCAUACAUACGUAUGCGCAUACAUACAUACAUAAUUUAUUGAUAUUAUAAAAUAUACAUAUCUACUAAAAUAUUAGACACACUAUUGAGGUUUUAAUUAUAUAUGUGUAAAUAAUAUUAUAUAUCAAUAUUAUAAAAUAUAUAUGUCUACGAAUAUUUUAUACAUUUAUACUAGCUCUAAAUGUAUUUAAAAAUUCAUAAAUAAAAUAUUAUGUCUAUAUUCAUCCUUUUAAAGAAUUAAAAAAAAUCAUCUCUAAUAUUUGAGUUUUGGUGACAAGAAUUUACAAAUUAUUUUAAAAUAGAAAAUAUAAUCGGGUCAUUGAUCGGGUAAAUGGGUCAAGAAUUUUAACUCUAACCCGACACGAAAAAAAAUCGUGUUGACCCGGACCCGACCCAUUUAAUAAUCGUGUUAAAUUCAACGACUCAUACCCAUUUAUUAGUGUUGUGUUCGUAUUGGGUAAUCGGGCCGUGUCAAAUUUUGCCAUAUCUAAUUAGUAUAAGAUGAUUUAACCACACAAUAUGUCAAAUUUACAUUUUGCAAUCAUUGAUACUUGGUGCUACAGUCAAAUUUAUAUUUAUUCAAGGUAGCGGGUUCAAUAAUUAAAUUCACAUAAAAAGAAAGAUGCAUUCACCCUUAAUGGCCCAGGAGCCAACCAAAUUCCGCGUCCGCGAAGUGAGGCACUUUUCUUAAAGUUAUUUCACAGACGGAAGAACAAAAUUCUGUGAUCACGCACAAAGUGAUAGGGCAAUUAUUGAAACAUAAAUAAUGUCUAUUUCCCAUCCGAAAUCUGUUCUAAUAUAAAGGACAAGAAAAAGUUUUAAUUAUUAUUAUUAUUAUUUUUCACGUAGGGCAAGGCAAACAUCACUAUCUUGUUAAAUUAACAUUUAACAUUGUCCCACCAAAUAUAAUUAUAACCAAUUAAAUAAAUAUUUACUAUGAGUUCAGCAUCUGAGUUCCCACUCCAUAAAUAUGCCAGUAUUUUAAAACAAACAAGACUUAAGCGACAAAUACAAUUUUGUCACCGAGUGUAAAGGUCGCAUUUUAAGCCAAAGGAGAGCAGUUAAAAGGAAGAUAAAAUAUUACCGUAUUUCUCUCUCUUCUAUUAUUAGUUUGUUGUUAAUUAUAACCCUUUUCGGGAUUAAAAAAAGAAAAGAAAAAGGCCUUUGCGUUUUCUAUUAGCAUGUGUACAUGUUUAUUUUCUGUGUUAGUAGUGCAGAGUAUAUACUGAACACACUGGACAAAAAGGGUAAUUUGUAAUCAAUUUAGUUUUAUAAACAUUAAUCUCGGAAGUAGUUACUGAACUUCAUGUGGAAAAAAAAAUAAAAAAAGAUAGUCGCUGAGCAAUAAAUCUACAAGUCAUCAAAAUCGAGCAAUUCUAUGGCAAGAAUUCUUUCCAGUGGGAGGAUUCUAAAACCAAGAAUCCACUGCUGAAAUUUUAUUCACUGAAAAUAGGGAACGAUUGACACACCAGACAACAAGAACAAGAUGCAAUUAAAUCUAAUGAAAAUUAAAAAAAGAAAAAAGAAAUACAUAUUCAAACAUAUUAAUGAAAAUCAUCCCCAAGUACGACACCGGAAGAGAAAGCAUUUUGGGUGGCUUGAUCCUCCCAUUGUAGCUCUUCCCACCAUUCUUUCUCUCCCUCGAUGACAACUCGACGUUCCUUCACGCUGCUGGAAUUGACUGGGAGCUUCUUCAGCUGUGGGCAUCCACGUACUUGAAUUUUCUUCAGCUUUGGAAGGGGCAGGGGAUUCGGGUAAACGCUCUUUAAAUUUCUUCCCCACUUUAUGGUUAGAGAUUCGAGUUGUGCAAAAAAGUUAUGCUCUGACCCGAUUAUCUCCGAAAUAUCUCUCAAUUUAUCAACACUAAUUAUUUCUUCCAUUUCUGUACAAAAGACUAUACGCAGCUGCUUGAGAAUUUGAACAAAAACUAGCCACGUUAAGUCUUUCAUUUUUUUGCAACUGCUUAUGACAACUCUGUCGAGACUGCGGAAACCACUUUGAAAAAGCUUCUUCACCUCUUCUGUGCUGUCAAUCUUCAUCUCUUCCAAGUUAAUGUCUUCAAGAUCUAACUCCUGAAGAUUCUCCAUGUAUGCGAGAUGUAAGAGAUUGAACGGUGCACUUUUACAAUGGUAAACCAAUACAAAUUGAGUGAUGCUCACCAGCUUUGGAUAUUUCAAAAACUUUUGGACAGCAAGUGAACUUCCGAAGGACCAGCUUAAAACAUUUAAAUGCUUCAAACCCAGCAAUUCCUUCAUCAAAGGUUCAGCACCAUCACAUAGAACGUUACCUUCUUUCCCUUUUAUUACCGAAAGCGACCGCACCCACGCAACCUGAGUACCUCCAACUUUGAAAAGCCAGAUAUCAAUUCAUGUGGAAUUAUAGACAAAUGAAAUGCAUAGUCCAAGUUCAAAUAUCUCAGCUUCUCCAAUGCCUUCAGCUCUUGCGGCAACCCAGUUAUGUCAGUCGAUGAAAGAUCAAGAUGAUGUAAUGAAACCAAACUUGAAAUCCCUGAAGGUAGUUUACUUAGGGAAAGAUUUAUUCGUAGACUUAAUACUCUAAGAGAAGACAUCGAUUGAAAGAAGCCAUCAGUAAUCUCCUCAAUCCAAUUUCCAUCCAGAAGUAAAGUGACGAGACGUGGACACGUGGGAAUUUCCGAUAGGCUUUGAAUUCUAGUUUUCAUCAGAGAUAUCCGUUUGGCACCUUCCCAUUCUUCAACCUUUGGUGCUUCGGUCAGUUUAACUCCAGCGUGAACCAGAAAGUUCUGCUCCUCCUUGUCUACCGUGCACGCUAUCCAUAAUGACAUCUCACGAAUCAUAUCGUGCAUCUUUACAUGAUCAUCGCCUUCUUCCUCCAAUAAGCAUGCUUGAAGAAGGUCAUCAAUAAAAUCGCAUCCAUCAUCAAAAUCACACACAAAUCCUUCACUAAUCCAGUAAUCAAUCAAUUCCCUUCUAGGAAUUUCGUAGUCUUCAGGGUACAAACAACAAUACAGGAGACAGGAACGAAGUUCGUCCGUAGACAAACUAUCAUAGCUGAACUUUAAACGCGAAAACACCUCUUCUUUCAUACCUGAGCAUUUAGAAGCUGAUGUUCUCAUUUUGUGAAUUGCACGUUUCCAAUCUCCAACUUUCCUUUGGCUUUUCAUCGCUCGACCCACUGUUUUAAGCGCUAGCGGCAACCCACCACACUCUCUUGCCAAGGUUUCGGCUAGCUCUGGAAUACUGGUAUGACUGUCAAGAGUGGAUCUUUCGACCAUCUCCUGAAAUAAUUCCCAGGCUUUAUCAUGCGCCAAACUAUACACUUCCACCUUUUCAGCGUCCAUUUGAUCGCAAACACCAGCUGAACGAGUUGUCAAGACUACUUUGGACCCAUCAUUUAGUUUUUGAAGAGGGACACCCAAUUGUGUUAAAUCAAUGCGUUCCCAUAUAUCAUCCAAUAACAACACAAACUUCUUUCCGCUUAAAAUUCUAGCGAUGUCCGCAGCCUUGUCUCGAGGACUUUUUUUCUCCCACCUUUGGUCUUCUGAAAAGCCAAUCCUUUUUCCAAUGUCAUCUUGAAGUGUUGACGCAACCGCCCAGAUAACAACAUCAAAAUUAUGCUGUUGAUGGCAGAAGUUGUUGUUGACUUGUUUUAAAAGGGUAGUUUUGCCGGCUCCCCCUAUACCAUACAAGCCGAUAAUUCCCCUGUUCUUUUCCUGAUCAGUGAUACAUCUCCAAACUUGAUCAAGUAAUAGUUCUUGACCAACAACUGUGUGAUCAAGAGGUAAUUCAAUUGCUGCACCAUCUGGCGCCUUCUCAACAACGACUUCAAUUUUUUCUCCGUCUUUCUUUAAAUUGAUCACUCGAUCCGUCAACUCGACCACCUGAGUCCCGUAAUUGUAGCUUGAAACGAAGUUUUUGGAACAGAGGCCUCCAAGGCACAAUCUAUCCAUUUCUUGAGCUCUAACUCGUUCCAGCUCGGUAAAUUCAGUUUCCAGAUUUUGCACAUCUUCAAGCCACCCUGCGACCUGGUUCGUUCGUCUGGUUCGAGGUCGUUGUUCUUCGACCUCAACCUUGGUCUUCAGAUCGUCCCUUGCUCGAGUCAAUUUGUGCAAUUCAGUCUCCAAGACCCGAAGAUUUUUUUCGAGACCCCAUACAUAUUUUGCUUGUUCACCAACGCAGUUUGAAGUUCGAUCAAAUAAGUCUGCUGGUAAGAAGGUUGAGAUUAAGUUACCCAUUGUCGUUGACGAAAAGAGGAAGAGAAGCAAUGAGUACAAUGAAAAGAAUUAUGCUGCUUUGGAGAGGGUUAUAUUUGGAGAAGCACAAUACCGAAAUAAAAAUAUGAUACAUUUGUUGCUUUAUAAUUCAUAUGUCAAAUAUCGCGAACAUAAUGAUACGUUUACACGUCAUAUAAAAUUUGUAAUUCAUUUCAGUAAUGACAGAAUUAAUAUUAAAUCUUAUCAUUUAUUAUUUAAGUGAUAAAUUUAUAUUGAGAAUAUUUAUUUAGAAUAAAAAUUUUGUGCCUUUACUUUGGAUGAAGAUUCAAAAUAUUAAGUCAAUGAUAGCUAGAUAAAAAAAUAAAAUAAAAUAAAAUAAAUUUUAACAUAAAUUUUUUAUUUAAUAAAAAAUAAAUUCAAUAUAAAAUUCUAAUCCCUUAGAUUUACAAGUGCAAUCAUUGAUGAUGUAAAGAAUUAUUAUUUUUUUGGUUAAAAUACUAAGAUAUGGACAGUCAAUCAUUAGCCAUAUGGAUUCAAUUUCUUGAUCGACCAAAAACCUUGUUUCGACUGAAAUCUAUACGUGCAAGUGAACAUAAAUGAACAAGCUUUCAUCUGGAUUUACAGAGUGUGAAGUAAAUGGUGCGCGGUUGGAGGGGGGGGGAGCUUAAAUGGCAUGUUUUAUUCAAACGAUGCUGCAACUGCAGUUCUUAGUAGUUGGAUUCAGAAAACUAAGCUUCGAUAUCAUGACAUAACAAAAGAUGCAAUAAAAAUUGCACGGACAUAAUAGUUGUCAUGCUUCCAUAACAACGUUACCAAGUCGGUAAAAGCUAGGAAUAACAAAACACAUAAAAGUAGUUUCAUAUUAGAGAAUAUCUGAAUUUCCUGGUUGGUGGAGUUUCUUUGAUGAUCUUGUUCGAAAGCUAAUACCAUUCAACUCUAAAAUGUACCUCAAAGUAUCAAUCAUCUCAAUUAACUAGCCACAAAGUUUCCUUAGCUUGCCACAGUUCAGUUGUAGCAAACUACCAAAGCCCAUUUGACAAGCAGCCACUCUUUGUUCAUCUGUCAGCUGUGAAAGUGCCACCGCUAAUCUAUCUGGAGUCCAUCUGGUUAAGAACUUUGCCUUUGCGACUGCUGACUUCACUAUUCGUUCGCAUUGACUUUGUAUUGACAUUUUUUACCCGGCGGUAAAUUCUUAAACAUGGAUUCAAUUUCCGUCCAGUACACAAUCAUGGCAAAUAAACUAACUACGCCUUCACUACUUGAAAAUACAAAUUUAUUUUAUUUGUAACGCAAGUCAUUCCAUCGCUUGCCUUAACCUCACGCACGGCUUCACCGCUGCAAUAUCAUCAUAUGACUGCGAAAUUAUAUAUCUCUAUAAUUUUGUGAUGCAUAUGCAUUUUGCUUUUCAUGCCCUUGCAUUACUGAGCUGAUUUAUAUUCUCUGCUUGCAGUUUCAUUCACUAAUAUCCUUUAAUUGUUGUCAACGUCUUCUGGUCUAUAUUUGAUGAGCAUAGUAAAUACCUACUUUUGAUGCUCCAUAUACAAGUAUUAUCAGUCUGUUGCAAAUAGAUGUUUAUCACUAAUGUUGAAAUCGUAAAAUUUUAGACAUACUAGAACCUAAAAUCAAUGAUCCAAAGAGCCAUCGCCGUUUUUUGGAGCAGUUCUUGCAAUAGAUUCCCACUGUGGUUUUGAUUAAUUUGGUCAUGAUGCUUGUGUGCAGUGAUACUGGUAGGAAAGUUGAUGAUCCUGAGGUGCUUGAGGCAAUUCGUUUGACAGUUAUAAACAAUCUACUUCAGUAUCACCCAGUAAUCAUUUUUUUGUCUCUCUUGAGAUAUAACUUGGUGGAGCACCUGUAGGAAUUGUCUUAUUGAAAAGCUUAUUCCAUUUGUGUUGGUGUUGGAAUCAGGAAUCAAGUUCCCAGUUUGCAAUGGGUGUUGCCUUUGGCGUUGAUCCUCCAAAACAACAGGUUUUUGCUUUCUGGUCUUAUUUUGAUUUUUCAGAUUAUUGAUAUUUUUGGCUCUUCUCAGUAGUGGAUCAUUUGAAUAGGAAACUAAGUUGUUUUUAGAGUUCUCUUAGGCCAAAUAUUACUUCACUUUUAUCCUCAUUUUAUUUAAAGACAUUAUAUUCAAUUUGCCUGCCAUUGAAAUUAAUAUCAUGUUGUCAUGAAUGUUAAAAACUAUGCAUAUGAGUUAUUAUGGGAAGGAUAAUGUCCCACUUCAAUCUUGUCUCAAAUCUUGUUGUGCUGGAAUUUGUCAGGUUGAUGUGGACAUAGCAACCCACAUAAGCAUCUAUGAUGAUGGCCCCAACCGAAGGUAAUGCAUAAUUCAUUCUCUUAUCUAGAUGAUGGGGCUUUUGCUAUCCACCAAACUUUGGUCCCACACUAUUACUACUCAUACUCCAGCCCAAGUGGCAAUUUCCUGCCCAUAACUGAAGUAGUCAGAUAAUUUGGCCCUUACUAUUUUUGUUUAUUUUACCUUUUGUUUUAUUGAAGUUUGCUUUUGGUGGAGACGGCUGAUCGACCUGGAUUAUUGGUGGAUCUUGUAAAGAUUUUUACUGUCAUCAAUGUCAAUGUUGAAUCGGGAGAGUUUGAUACUGAGGUAGUGAGGUAAUCUUUUAUAACAAACUCUAUAUAUAUAUAUAUUGACAAAAGAGUGGCCUUCCCUUAUAAAUAUAUUUUGUUCUAAUUUUUGUUUUCGCACCCAGGAGUUGUUGGCUAAGGCAAAGUUUCAUGUCAGCUACAAGGGUGAAGCCAUUAUCAAGCCUCUCCAACAGGUAAAAACAACAGGCCUACAUAUAGGACAUCGGAAAUUGCUUUAUAGAUUGUUUGCUCUGAAGAAUAAAGAGACUUACCAUUUCUACUCAAAAUCGGUAUUCUAGUUGCAAAACUGUUCUUAUAUAAAAGAUUUGAAUUUAAACUUUGAAGUGGGCGGUAAGAACAUUAACGUGCUAAUGAUCACACGGUGCACCUGAAGGCUUGGACGAUCGUUGAUGUACUGAUUAGACUUUGCUUGAUCAAAUUUGCAGGUUCUUGCUAACAGUUUGCGAUAUUUCUUGAGGCGACCAACAACCGAGGAGGCAAGUUUUUGAGCUCUUGUUGAAGACUCCACCAACCAAAUUCAGGAUUACACACACUUGAUGAAUUUUUUUAUUUCUCUCCCCAGUAAACAUUCACAAGGGGAAUUACAAUAUGUUGUCUCCCUAAUCUCCUUACAUAAAAUAAAUAAAACAUGAGAUAUAUAUAAACGGACAACAUUUUAAUGAUAUAUCAUAUGGUAAACACUUAUAAAAUAGAAACCUUGCUAAUUUUAUCAUCCUCAUCAAUUCAUAGUCCUUUUUAAAUAAUUUUCAAGUUUAGGGAUAUGAUAUAGCUGUGUUGUAUUACUCAUAUUAAUCUUAAGCCUAAAGUUUGCAAUGGGUUGAUGAGCAUACAACCUUUUUCUAUUCAUGGAUUAAAAUAAUAAUAAUAUUAUUAUUAUUAGUUUUUUUUUUUUUUAUGUGAACCUUAGUUUACAUCCUAAAUUUUCCUAUAUCAACAUUUCAUUCCAGUACGCAAACAAGAUACAUCACUAUGGUUUCUUUAAUUUCAUUCUGUUUUCAUGCUUUGAAAAUUAGCGUCAUGACAUUGAUUCAGCAACUUUCACAAAACAGAAACAUAAAGGAGAUUUUUACCAUGUGGCUUUGGUGCAUUGGUCAUCAAAAUCUGCACAAUUAAUUAUAAAGAAUAUACGAUGUUUGCGCGUGCAAUUAUGAACGACUCAUCUUAUAUCAACUUAAGGGCAAAAUUAUUUUAAAAUCUCUUUGUAUAUAUGUUACAAUGUCAUUAAUUUUUUUUGUCAAUGGUCAUAGUUUAUUUAAUUGGCUACCAUUUUUAAGUUUCUUAUGACAGUUAACGGGUGAGGUAAAUCGAACACUUAAUUUUUUUAUAUUUAUAUCGUCAAUGGUGGAUUCAAGAAAAUAAUUUAUCGAUGACUAAAUUAUAUGACGACACGAUUCGAAAACUCAAAUUUUAUAGGUUUAAUAAAAACUAAAUUAAAUAAUAGUAAACCACCUAUAUGGGUUACCUCAUAACUUUUUAUAUUUUAAUUAAAGUGUGGUUUUUGUAAUUCUCAAAAUUAAAAUUUUAUAAAUUUUGAAUUUAUAAGACUAUUUUUAUAAAUUUAACUUGCCUAUUUUAAUAUAUUCAACAGAAUUAAUUAAUAACUCAAAUAUUUUUUUUAAUUAUUCUCUCUGUCCCACUAAUCAUGAGGUGAAUCCACCUCUAUAUCUCAUUUUAUAUUGUGUAAUCUCGUUAUGACUAAAAAGUACCUCCCUUAGAUUCAACUACUUAUCUAGGGAAAGUUUUUAAAAGCUGAGUCCACAAGCCAUGUCCCAUAACUUAGAUGACUGAAAAACAAAAACAAAACAAAAGGGAACAAAAGAAGGCCAUGCGGCCCAUGCUCUGCAAUGAGUGCUCCCUAAUGAUCAAGAAAGAGUAUUAUAAUUUAAUAUUUAUCCAAACAGAAAAUGACGUACACGGGAACAAUAAAUGAUCUCCCUAGAGAUGAGAGAAAUGGAUAACAAUAUUCUCUUAUUUAACUUCACUAUAUAAAGAGCUCUCUAUCAAAAUCAUAAUUCAAUUCAUUCCACCCACAUUGUUUGGAAAGAGAGAAAGUGAGAGAAAAAAGAAGGAAAAUAUGACAGGAUCAUUUGCUAGAGGAGCUCCCACCUUUAACUCCAUGUUUUUCAAGUAAUGUUUUCAUUAUCUAUCUACUUUGCUAUUUCAUCAUUUCAUUUUGACAAUCGCACUUCAUUAUUGCAUGGUAUGUUUGUAAAUAAAUGUUUUCACUUUAUCUAAAUUAAUUUUGUUAUGAAACAGUUCGUUCGAAAUAGGCCUAAUAGUUUCAAAUUAUUUAUUUACUAAUUAUGAGUGGUUGGUUAAGUACAUAGAAUUAAAUGUUUUAUUAACUGAACCAAUAUGUCUCCACAGGGGCCUCAGGUUAAAAAAAAUUAUCAAGAAAUAUGAAAGUCUUCAAUUAAAUUUGUCUCUGUGUCUGAUAAUUUUAUUUUGUAGCCCCCAUAUGUUUAUAUUCUUGUGGUAUAACCUACUUAAAAUUUGUUGUUUCUGUAUGAUUGAUGACAUCCAAAAUCCUGAUUUCGCCACUGUCCACGCAAUAAUAAAAAGAGAUUGCUUUCAUUCAUUUGAGUGUUUGAAUAUUUUACUCUUUGUUUUUGCAUUAUUAAUUUGUUGAGUCUUUUUGAAACAUAUAGGCCAAUGAUGAGGAAAUCCUUUCAAAAGAAAACAAGUUCUUAUGAUAUGAUGAGAGAAACAACAUUGAAAUCCAAUGCAGAAGAAGGAAAUGUGAUGAGGAGCCAACAGUUGAAUAAUAAUGUGGGAGAAAAUGAAGGGAAUUGUGGUUGGGUUCCUCAUGAAAGAACUGGGAUUUAUUACCCAAAAGGCCAUGAAAAAGUUAUUGACGAUGUUCCUCCUAGCGCUGGAAGAGAUUUUGAAGUUAAUUGGUUCUCAGAAACUCAUGGAUAAUUUAUGGAUAUGUUUUUUUUUUUUCAAAUUACUACACAUGCUUAAAGCGAAAAGGCUUUCUAUUGUCUCAAAGCAAAAUCCGAUUGUGAAAAAAAAAAUUAAAAUAAAAUAACAAUAAUGGAAAAUGAAAUCAUUUAGAUUCAGCUCAAUGCUAAGCAUUCCAAAAUUUAAGUUUCAAAAGAUAUGACAAUCAUUUAUUAGAUGGUGGUUAAAUAAUUUUACAAGUUAUGAAAUCUAUCGUCUAAUAAAUGAAUAACGUGUGACUUUUAAGACUUAAGAAGUUAAGACUAAAAAAUUAGGAUCUUAAUAUUAUUCUUACUUUUAUAUCAUCUUUUUAUUUAGGUCUAUUGUUUAUUGUCGUCUGAUUCUUCAAGCUAAAUGUACAAAACUACAAAUGGAUUAGGUGGGCCUCGCAUGGGCUUAAUUUUUUGUUAUGGCUCAUGAGUGGUCCUAUUGGUACCCCUAAAAAACCUUCUCAAACCCUUCUUUUAUAAUCAUGCAUUUGUCCCUAUUUAAAUUUACAAUGAUAAACAGAAGAAAUUAAAUUUUAUUCAAAUAACUAGUCUCCAUAAUUACAAUCAUGUGAAACCAAAACUCGACUUAACAAUUUAUUAUUUAUUUUGACGAUAUUUAGUUGACAUUCCUUGUUUAUCAAAGCACAAUGUAUUUUCUUAAAUUUUGAUAAAAUUUUAAUUAUUUUGUUAUUAUUAUUUAAGAUGAAACCUUAAAAUAUCAAUAACCAAUGUUGGAUGUUGUUAUAAGAAAUUCUAAUGAAAAUAUUAUGGAAAUAGCUUUUAAAAUUAUAAGUUCUAAUGGAGAUAAUGAUUAUUCGAAAGUUGAUGCCAUCAGAUUUGGGUUUCAAGCUCCCCAAGACGAAGAAAAUGUGAAAAUGGGGUUGGUGUGUAAACCAAGGGUGUUUUUGGAAUCAACUUAUGUGGGUUUAGAAAUCGAGUGAGGCUAUAUACACUCUAAAAAUUACACUAAACACCAUAAUUUUAUAAAAAAAUUUAUUUCAAUAAUAUUUAUGGUAUAAAUUAUUAUUAAGGACAUGACAAUUAUUAAUUUUUUUUGUAUGACUAUAAUUACUUCUUUUUCAGUUAUAUUAUGAUGAUAUUAAACAAGUUUACAUUGGUUGCUUGAUUUUUUCUUUUGGCCAAAAAAUACAUGUCAUUCCACAAUACCAGAGUAACAUGGACAAUUAUUCAGACUCUUACAAACUAGUCUGCAACUGAGGCAUUACAACCCAGCAAACAUUUUUGCGACAUAAAAAUGUUCAGACAAAUCCAGAUUAAAAAAAAAAGGGCUUAAUUUACCAUCCUCUUUUGACAAACUUUGAAUUUUCUGACAUUCAAUUGGAGGUGGAAGUGGCAUCAUAGUUGUACUGAAGAAGAUCGUCAUAAGGGUCCCAGGCACCUACUCUGAAUCAUUCUUUCUUGUCCCUCUCUUUCAAGUCCUCCAUCAACCUCAAAAUCAUAUUCUCAGCAAUUAAAAAUUUCAUCUUCACUUCUCUUCUUGAUUCUAAGCUCAGAACUAUGAAGCGCAAGCUGCGUCUUUUAUUUAGCUAAAUGAUAUAUUGGUUAAUUGAUUUAUUUGUUCGGAUUAUAAUGUUUAUUUCUCACGAUCUUUUCAUUGGUGAAAUUUUUUGAUGGAUUUUUUUAGUUGCUCCUUUAUCAUUCUUCAUUUAUUGGAGAAAUAUAUUAUACAACCAAAUAAUUAAAUUUUAAUGAUAAAAGAGUGUUUAGAGAAAUAUUUUGAAUAUGUAAGGCGUUUUCAUGAGUGUGUUAGAGUAAAUUAAUUUAAAAAGGAUUAAAUGAGUACAUUUUUGGUACUUUAAGGAAUGUACAAAAUAUAGUUCAUUUUUUUAAAUUAAUAAAUAAGUGUAUAUAGUAAUAAAACUUUGAGAAUAAUUUUUAGACUACAAAUAACUCUGCCCUUAGAAAUAAUAUUAUUUUUUGAAUGAUUUAGUGGGCAUAUUGAAUAAAGAUUUUUAUGAGGGCUUUCAAAGGUGCGAUAGUUCUACUCAUGACUCAUUUUUCUGCUAUUAGGAUUUACUCUUUGUUUCGUACUUUCAUUUGAGUGGAGCUCUCUCUGUCUCUCUCUCUCUCUCUUUGGAAAUGGAAAGCUUCAAUCAAUCACUUCAAGGAAAAAGACUUACAUGAGUUGAAAUUUCCUCCAGCCAAAUUACACGGCCCGAAUUGUUAACAUCAUAUUUAUCUAAUUUAUGAGCGGUCUCACUACUACUGCUCAGUAUAAGAUUGAUUUUGAAGUGGUCUUUCACAACCAUACAAUUUCGAAUCUCGAAAAUUAACCAUGAUAUUUCUUUCAUACUUCUUUCAAAACCUUUCGCCAAGUUUAAAAUAGUCUUCGAGUCUGAUUCAACAAUUAAUGGCAUUAAACCAAAGUCUAUUGCCAUUUUUAUUCUAAAAUUCAUAUCUUCAGCUUUAGCAUAUUCAACGUCCCCAUGAAAAUCUAUAUUCUGAAUUCCUACACUCCAAAAUCCUUAUAAAGCUUGUUUUAAUUUUUAUUUAUCAAAGUACCUUGGUUUAAUUUAUAAAAUACUAAUCCAUAAAUUAAAAUUAAUAAUCUUCUCAUUAAAUUUCACCUUAAAAAGAUUAUAAAUUAUUAAAAGUUUCUAAAAAUUAUAUAUAUAUAUAUAUAUAUAUAUAUGAAAUGAGGUGGGUGGAAAAAUGUUAAAAGAAUAAUUUUAUUUAAGUAUUAAUUAAAUUUUCAAUCAAAAUAAAAAUGGAAUUAAUUUAUCUUUAAUUAUUUAAAUAAUUUUAAUUAAAGAGUUAUAAGGAAUUUAAAGGAGGGUCUUAUAGGGGGUGUCAAAAGGCUGCGAUCUAAUGCUUCCGUUCAUCACAAUCUGCUACUGCGAUUGAUCGCGAUCUGCAGCCGUGGUCGCGCUCGUCCUGUCGCCGUUUGUCGUCGCGAUCUGUUACCUUCGGUGAAGAGGAGCACAAUGUUUGUUUUGGGAAUUAUAAUUUUAUAUUUUAAAUUAUUAAUUUCUUAUAUUGUUUGGCCACUGAUUGUACAUUAAAAUUAUAUAGAUUGGUGUUUGUAUUAUUUCAUUGUUUGCUUAUUUGUUAUUAAUGUUAUUAUUGUUUAUUAUUAUUAUUAUUAUUAUUAUUGUAGUAUUAGUAGUUGUUAUUUAAUUUCAUUAUUAUCAUUAAUUAUUACUAUUAUUUAUUUAUAAUGUUAUUAUUAAAUUUAUUAUUAUUAUCAUUAAUACCAAAGGACAACUAUUAUUAUUAUUAUUAUUAUUAUUAACAACUAAGGGCGUUUUAGUAACUUAAAACAACUUAACAUAUUCCGAUUCCGAUUCUUAGAUAAAGUAAACACAUCAAUGGGGUUUUAACUCAUUCCGAUUCCAAUUCCGAUUGCUACAGUUUAAGUAAACAACUUAUUUUGAUUCUCAUUCCUCAUUUUCAUUCCGAUUCUAACCCAUUCCGAUUACUGACAAGUAAACGCAUUAUAAAGGAAAGGAAAAAAAAUUAAUUAUUUUUUUUACCAAAUAUAAUUAUAACAAAUUAACUAAAUAUUUACUAAGAGUUCAGCAUCUGAGUUCCCAAUCCAUAAAUAUGCCAGCAUUUUAAAACAAACAAGACUUAAGCGACAAAUACAAUUUUGUCGACGAGUAUAAAGGUCGCAUUAUAAGCCAAAGGCGAGCAGUUAAGAGAAGAUAAAAUUUUACCGUAUUAAACUUGUAAUUGUGGAUGCCUGGCCUGGUGUUAAAAAGGAUUUAGAGCCACAAAAAGUUUUUGACCAAACCAAAAAGAAGUAGCAAAGCAAAAAAAGGAUAAUAGCAAAGCAAUAAAUCUACAAGUCAUCACAAUCAUGCAACUCUAUAGCAAGAAAAAAAGAAAAAGAAAAAGGAAAUACAUAUUCAAACAUAUUAAUAAUAAGGAUCCUCCCAAAGUACGGCACAGGAAAAGAAAGCAUUUUGGGUGGCUUGUUCCUCCCAUUGUAGCUCUUCCCACCAUUUUUUCGUUCCCUCGAUGACAACUCGACGUCCCUUCGCGCUGCUGGAAUUGAGUGGGAGCUUCUUCAGCUGUCGGCAAUGAAAUACUUGAAUUUUCUUCAGCUUUGGAAAGGGCAGGGGAUUCGGGUAAACGCUCUUUAAAUUUGUUCCCCGCCACAUGGUUAGAUAUUCGAGUCGUGCGAAAAAGUUAUGCUCUGACCUGAUUAUCUCUGAAAUAUCACUCAAUUUAUCAACACUGAUUAUUUCUUCCAUAGUAAAACCCUGCAUAUUUAGCUGCUCGAGGUUUUGAACAAAAACAAGCCACGUUAAGUCCUUCCCUCUGCAAGACCUUAGGACAACUGUGUUAAGACUGCGGAAACCAUUUCGAAAAAGUUUCUUUACCUCUUCUGUGCUGUCAAUCUUCAUCUCUUCCAACUUAGAGGAUUCAAGUUCUAACUCCUGAAGAUUCUCCAUGUAUGCCAGAUGUAAGACAUUGAACGGUGGCCUUGUAUACGUGCCACAUUCAACCCAUACAGAUUGAGUGAUGCUCACCAGCUUUGGAUAUUUCAAAAACUUUUGGACAGCAAGUGAACUUCGGAAGGACCAGCUUAAAACAUUUAAAUGCUUCAAACCCAGCAAUUCCUUCAUCAAAGGUUCAGCAUCAUCACAUAGAACGUUACCUUCUUCUUCUUCU
rnacentral:lncRNA from 1 species